CGUUAAACCUAUAGAAAUUCUUUGUUCAAAUUUAUUGCGCAGUAGAGUUUUAAACAAUGACUAGGGCGAUGAGUCCUCUGAAAGAAGAACAUCACUUGAGUCUUGAUCUACGAUCAGUGCGGAUGUGCCUAACUGAAAGUUAAUACGACGCUAGUGGAAGUUAUUAAGAAUUCGAUAGUGAUAAUUUGAGAACGUUAUUAAUCCGGAAGUGCGAAGAUUACACAAAUUAAGAAUCGAAUAGUGAGCCUUCCGAGAUUGUUAUCACACCUGAUUGUGUGCUGUAAUUAAUUUACUGUGGUAAAUUUUGAGGAAUAACCCUACAACGUGGGGUUUUUGUUUGGGCUCGGACCAUUGACAACCGCCAACUGUCGUCGACCACGUGCAACUAGUCCAGGCGUAUCCCGAUGCGCCGCUGCGGUGGCUCGUGAGUACUCACUGCAGUGUCGUUCUAUCCCAGAAUCCGACCGAGUGCUAGAACGCAACCAAACUGCUCGAUAUCCGCCGAGGACUCAAUUUUGAAUUUCGGUGUCAAGCCAAAACGAUCACCGACCAGCACCCGACGUCCCUACAGUGGUGCUAGGCGUCGUCAUCCCGAGGCGCAAGAGAGCUUUGGACACGCGUCGUGAGAGUACUUUGCGGUCGCUGGACAAAUCCAACCAAACGAAAGUGGUAAGUUGCACCCAACUACGUUGGUCGAAUCACCCCUCGGUCACGCGGAGAGCCUGAGCACGAGAGCGAAGAGCAUCGAGGUGAAGCCACGUCGGGGCCCCGAUCAACGCGUCGUUGGAACCUGCCGGCAAGUACUUGCAUGCAUGAAGAGAGAAGAGUAGCUUUAAGAUAGGUAGCCUAGGGAGAUUGAUUGUGCAAGGAAAAUUGGAACAAUAAAGCUAUUUUUAAACCUUGCACUGGUUCCUACAUAGGCACAGCUAGGCGAUAUUUUGCGCUGAUUUGAAAUCUCUACUGAAGUGAUUUGAAAUCGGUUUUUUUUCGUAACUUUUAGCUCCAUAUUUUAUGAAUUGAGGGGGCCAAAGGCCAAAGAGUUUUUUGAGGUUUACACGGGAGGGAUUCGAAAGGUAAGUCGGGUCGUCAUUUGGAAGCCAAGAAUAGCUGGUGUGUUUGAGCAACUAUUAAAACUCGCCCUAGAAGAGGGUCUCAAAGCCGGGACCCAAACAGCAUCAGCAGCCUUCCUCGUUGGGGAAGUGGCGCUUAAGCUGCUGUUUGUGAUAAGCUCGAGCUGAUUCGUUACAAU